AAGGAAAAAUUAUAGGAAAAAUUUAUGUAAUAAAAUUGUAAAGGCUUAGUAAAAUGAAAUAAAAUAUUAGAAUUAAAAUUUAUUAUUAUAGUAAGGUUUAUUAAAAUUUUUUUGUCCAUAGAAAGUGUACUGAGAAGGAUUAUUGAAAUAGUUAUUUUAUUUAUUUGUAGAGAAGAAAUAUUUGAAUAUUUACCUUUUGUAUUAUGGAUAACUGAAAAAAUUAAAAUUAGUUAAUUUUAUUAACGAAAUGAAGUGAGCUACUAUAGUCUAUUUAUUAGAAAUAAUUUCUUUCUGUAGAAAAAGACAUGAAAAGAGGUUAUGGUUGAAGAGAAAUUCUUAACGAACUUUGUUAUAGCUUUUUUUUGAGGAAGUAAGUAUAAGCUUAUUUUAAUUUAUUAUUAAAGUAGAAAUAAUUGGUUGAUCAAUUAUCUCUUAAGAAAAAUAAUUCGUAUAUUUAAAGAAAAUCAUCAAGAUAAAAAAUUUGUAUUUGUUAAAAAGUAGGUUUUAAGUAAUUUUCUUUUUAGAGUGUGUUUAAAUUCUUUAAUAAAAUUAUAUUAAUUAAUAAUUGAUAAUAGAAGUUUAUUUUGUAAAAGAUUACUUGAAUUAUCUAUGUGGGUUGAUAAAAUAAUGGUUAUAUUAGUAAAAUUUUAUUCAUUUUAUUAAUUAAUAAAAUUUAAAGAAAAAAUUAAAUUUUUCUUUAUAUUCAUGUAUUCUUAUUUUAGUGAAUAAAAAAAUGAGUAGAGAAAGUAAGAAAAGGAACUCGGCAAAAAUUUUUCUCGCCUGUUUACCUAAAACAUCGCCUUUGGAUAUUUAUCAAAAGGUCCUGCCUGCCCAGUGAUGUAAAUUAAACGGCUGCGGUACUCUGACCGUGCAAAGGUAGCAUAAUCAUUAGCCUGUUAAUUUCAGGCUGGAAUCAAUGGCAAGACGAAGGAAAGACUGUCUCUUUUUACUUUUUUAUAAUUUUUCUUUUUGGUGAAGAGACCAAAAUAAAUUAGUGGGACGAGAAGACCCUAUUGAGUUUUAGUUUUUUUAGAGAAGAGAAUUUUUUAAAAUAACUUUGGUUGGGGCAACUAUCAAUUAAAUUAGACAUUGAUAAAUUAAAAAUUAAUUGAAUUAAAGAUAAAUAUCCAAAAAUUUGUUUUGAAAAUAAAAAAAAUUACCUUAGGGAUAACAGCGUAAUUCUUUUUGAGAGUACAUAUUGACAAAGGAGUUUGCGACCUCGAUGUUGGAUCAAGUUUUCCUGAAGGUGUAGCAGCUUUCAAAGGUUGGUUUGUUCACCAUGAAAAUCUUACGUGAUCUGAGUUCAGUCCGUCGUGAGACAGGACAGUUUCUAUCUACUAUUUUUCCCUUCUUGUACGAAAGGACUUUAGGGAAAAAAAUAAAAUUUGAAAAAUAUUUUUUAAAGAUAUAAGAAUAAUAUAAAAUUAAUUGUCGUUUGAAUAUAAAAAAUUAUUCCUUAAGGAAGACCAUUUAAA
rnacentral:rRNA from 1 species